AUAUUAAAUGAAAAAAACUAACAAAUUUCGGUAAAAGACUUAAUACACACAAAUAAAAUUGAAAUCCAAACAAAGAAUAGGAAAACAAUAGCAUGAAAUCACAAUCCUAAGAACAUGAAACUGUAAAGCUAGAACUAACGACGCAAACCAAAUCAACAAGCAAGCCAACCAACGAAGCAAGCAGGUCAAGGACGCCCAGAAAUGAUAGACGAGACGGUCACUGAACAAAUUAGCAGUGCCCAAAACCAAACCAACAAGUCAAGACGAGAAUUAAAACAACUAUAACUAAUAGAACAAAAGAAACAGGGUAUCACAAUUAUAACCCCUGAAAGCUGCAUCCAACCAACGAAAUCCUCUGAAUGACGCAAUCCUUACUUUGCUAAAGCAUCUGUAGUCCAAUUUGCUUCUCUAAGAACAUGUUAGAUGUAAAAGCAGGGAGAACUUUUAAGUUACACGCAAUAGAGUAAUAAGUUGCAGCAAGUUUCCAAGGUUGCAAGUUUGGGGAAGAUAUCCAUGAGACUGCGACCAGUGAAUCAAAUUCCAAAAUAAUCUCUGACUUUGAAGACCAUAUUUUGGGUUUAGAAAUUAAAAGUUUCAAGCCUUGUCAAUGGCCAAGAACUCAGCUGCACUGGAGUCUUGAUGUCCUACAAAGUAAGAGAACACGCAGAGGAAAUUCCUAGAAAAAUCACGAAGCACUUCUCUAAUUGUAUUAGGGCUUGGUUUACCAAGAGAUAAGCCAUCAACAUUCCGCUAAAGCCGAUUUGGGGCAAGAGGAACUAGGCCAAGAGGGAGAGAUAUUGGAUUAACACGACUCCUAUCAGCUGGUAAAAAAAAAUAGCCAAAUUCAAGCCAAUAUAAGAAAAAU
rnacentral:misc_RNA from 1 species